CGCCAGCGCGGUGAAGACGAAAGUCGACAAUUCCUAGUUUUCGGGGGCUGGGAAUGUAGUGUUAAAGACUGCUUUCGUUUCCAAGAAAGGGCACGGCAAGAGUUCGGGGACUGUGGAUUGGGACCCUGGCCCUAUAGCAGGAGGGAGAACUACAUUUUAACUUCUGUAUUACUUCUAGCUAGCUCUUCCAACCUUUAUUUCUAAGACAAGGUUGUGCAUCUGAUGUAAGACCAUGGUGUCAUGUACAGGAGAGUUUUGAGAAUCAAGAUGUGCCUUGAGGUUGAUGAUGAUGAAGGGGAUUGCUUGUCAAAUGGUCAGUCGGAUGAAUGCUUGACAUCACACCUUCCGAUACAUCUUGACUGAAUGGCAGUCAGCCACUGCCAGCUGCUCGUCAUUGGACGUGAAUGUGACGCCAUGUGUGACCUGAACAGCACACCUGAUGGAUGUUUUCCAUGGACAUGAAAUCAAAGGGUUUUUGCCAGAGAAGUCAGUGGAUAGGAACACAAGUGUUAGGUUUUUGGCUGCCGUUUUCACCUACUCUUUCAACUAACAAGAUGCUUGUCUUGACACCAUUUGUACAAACCUUGUUGGGUGAUGCUGAGGUACUUCGAGCUGGAUCGCACAUUUGAAGGAGAUAAGAUGAAAGUGGACUGCCUGAUGAUUCCCACGUUAACUCAUAAGGAAGUGUAAAGACACGUUGCUCUACCUGUGUGUUUCCAUCUAAUCACAUUGACUCUGGGUCUGUGAGAUGAGUUGAAAGAGACAAUGCAUGUUGCUCAACCUAACACUGUGUUCCCAUUGUGAGAAGGCAAGUUGCUGUACCCAAAACUGUUUUUAGUGGAUCACUUACAUGUGUACAUGUACCUGUGGUCUGCGAACAGAGUUGGACACAUCAUAACUUGACACAUACUCUACAUGUACAUUUACGCAGAUCAGUUUUAUGCACUGCCUGAAAGUGUGGAUACAGUGAACUUUUCUGAAACAAUUUUUCUGUAACUUUGUACAGAAAAAUGUAUGUAAUUACCAUUCCCAUAUGGUUAAAUGCAUUGAAAAGUGCACUUUUUAAACACUUAAAAUUAUCCAUGCUUUCCUGGACAAGUUAGGAGAUUGUUGCUGUGAUGUCAUUGAGGGAAGACGUAGUUUAGUGCCUAAGUUUUCUUGCUCAAGUCGUGAACCAAAGUUUGCUCACUAAACACAUUUCUUAGAGAUUGGUGCUUGCAUAUUGCUAUGGAUAUAAACAACAAUGAAUAAGCACAGAAAAUAGAAUUUAGUCCAGCAAAAUCUCCAAAAUGCAUGACUUUUCGUGUACAAACCAAUGUAACACUAAGGAUUUUGUUCCUGGGAUUGGAUCACAGUUUUGCUCAUGCAUAUGGAAAUAUUUGUCAGCGUAAAAACAACAAAGCAGAAAAUAUCCUUUGAAAGAGUGAAACAAAUGUUGGAAAUAAGGUUAACUUAGACAGAAAGUUGGAAUUUGGAUUUUGUAUUAAAACAAACUGAUUGCAGCCACCCUUCAUGGUGAAAUUAUUAAUUAAGCAAAAUAAUUCGGGAGAUUUGUAUAUAAUAAUCCGACAUAGAAGUUUUGUGUUGACUAACUUUUAAAUUGUAAAAUUUGUAAAUAUUGUAUGUGGCCUGGGAAUACUUCUUUUUACGUUGUACACAUUUGACAGAACAGUGUUUCAUUAUUAAUUGUGGAAUUUAAUGUUCAUUUUUCACCAUUUGAUUUUAUUUUGCAUGCUGAGUAUGUUGGAAAUUUGUAUUGUCAUUGAAUUGUCAUCUUUCAGGGUAUGUCUACAUCCUGCAUCUUGGCUGGUAUGACAAGUGUGCUAAAAUGACAAUUUUGCUGAAGUUAUCAGCUAAAUGUAUAUGAGAUGAAAUUGCCACAGAGAACAUCAGUCCAGAGUAUUACUAUAUAUGGGCAUAGUAGUCUUUCCCUACUGAUCCAGCAAUUUUUGUUCAGAUCCAACUCUAAAUAGCUCAAGUUGGCAACGACGAUUUUUAAAUCUUAUCGGUACAUGUGUUUUAAAACUUCUAGUUUAUGUCUGUAUUCAGGUUUUUUGCACAGCCAAUCAAAUUUUUGCAACUGAAAUGUUUCGUUAGUGUUUUUGAUGAUAUAAUGCAUCGUUUAAGAAAAGCACUCCGUAACAUGGAAACGCAUUUACAAUCCGUUGCAGGCUGGUAGUACAAGCCUUGUGAUUGGUCAGAUCACAUGAGAUUUGUGUUGUAAUAGGCUGCCCAAAUAUGGUAUUACUCCAGACUGAACAUAUUAAAUUAUUGCUGCAAGCAAAGUAAACCUUUACCCUAUUAAUCAUGGCAUCACCAGUUUGAGGCUUUAUUAUGCACACAUGUUUUAAGCGCUCAACAUGACUACAAAGGUUUGAUCAGUAUGAAUGGCAUGUUUUUUAUUUAAAUUAAAUUUCUUUUUGAAUCUUUCAAGACUUGAAAACCUUUUUCAUGUUAUGACUGAAAGUGUAACAGUAAGUUGCAGUAGACCAAUAGACCGCCCUGUUAGUGUGUGUGCAUAAGACAGCCUUUCAUUUCAGAACCAAUUCACUGUAAUUACGGUUACCUUUACUGUUUUAAAAGUCAACAAAUUAUACUUUUCAAAUACAUCUAUGUACAAUUUGCAUAAAUGUUUAAUAGAGACCUCGAACAGGGCACCUUUAGGUUAAAGGUUUUUCUGAGACACCCUGCAGUGGUGCAACUUUCAAAUCAAAUUGUACCAUUGAUCGCAGUAGAAUUUAAGGAUGAAAUUCCAUUGGGUCUUUCGAUGAUUUUUGGGUGUGUUUCGUAAUAUUUUGUGGUCAAGGGAUAUGGAGUCCUUCAGAAUUGCUCUUUAUACAUGUAUUAAGGUUUUAGCUCUUCUUAGUCAGUUAUAGUUCACAGAACCUGAUAAUUAUUGAGCACAAUACCUUUAAGAAAUAUUGUUACAGGUAUAACAAGGACACACCAUUUCCAUCAGUAAGGGUAAAAAUUGCAUUACUUUAAUCACUUUUGCACCAGUUCCCCCAAACAGAUAGCUCAGAGUUCAACACAAACCCUUACUCCUGUUAGAGAAAUUCAAUGUACUUAUUAAAAUUCUAAGAACAUUCCACUGAACAUACAUGUACCAAACAUGAAUAUUCCAAUUCGUAGACUAGUUGUAAGUUUUAAAAGUUUGAGAAGAACUGUCUUCUCAGCUACCUUUUUGUGGGAAAAACUGGUGCUGCAAAAUGUUGAUGUUUUACAAAACGAUUAACUUUGCCACAAGUUACAUCUGCAGUACUGCUACUUGACUGGACAGCUUGUUCUUUUUUCCAUUUUUUUAAAACCAUAACGCUGCUGUUAUGUUCUUAUAAAUUUUAUUUAAUGAGUUUUCAUUACUUUCGUAUGUGGAGUCAAUAAGUACAUGUAUAUCACCAAUAAGUAUAUCACUGAUAAGUAAUUGCUCACUUGUUUUUAUUCUCUAGGUAGGACAGUCAAGUCAGAUCAGGUACUGUUCUCUGCGGCAACCUGAACAGCACACCUGAUGGAUCUGUGUCACAGAUCUUCUUGUCAAGAAGAGUUUGCCAGAGAAAUCAAUGGAAUUCAAUGAGACAGUCAAGCCAGAUCAGCUGCUGUUCUUUGUGGCGACCUGAACAGCACACCUGAUGGAUCCGUGUCAAGAAUUUUUUUGUCAAGGAGAGUUUCUAGAGAAAUCAAUGGAUUUAAAAAAAGUGUUCCAAGGUUUUGGCGGCUGUCUUGAUCUACUCCUUGAACUACCAAGACAUUCUUUAUACAAACCUUGUUGGAUUCUUAUGAGGUACUGAGAACCGGAUUGCAUCAUGUUUAAAGGAGAUACAAUGAAAGUAGACUGCACCAUUCCAAUAUUAAUUUAUGAGGAAGUGGCAAGACAUGUUGAUGUAUCGAACACUGUUCUUAUUGGAUCACUCUACUUUAGACCUUAGAGCUGAAUUGGAAGGGACAGAUCUUGACUUCAAACCUGAACUUUUAUCCAGCUUACGCUGAAUUGCAUAACAUUCAGUUAUAUGCGCUGCAUAUAAAAGUAAAAGUAAAUCAAGCACAGUUAAUAGAUAGUUUCUGCAUCCAGGUUAAUUCGUGUCUGUAUACGUAUCCGUAUGACACAACAAAUACACAGGGUACAUACAAGGUUGCAAAAAUUUAGUUUGCCGUGAAUUGCAUGUCCCUACAUUGCACACAGCAACGUAGCAACAUUGGUAGCGUUCAUUUCUUCAAAACAAAAAUUAUUCACCCCAGACAGACAUUGCUAUCCAAACAAGCUAUACAUGAAGUGUCAUGAAAGUAAGAACUUUUGUUAUUAGGGAUACAAUUUGAUGCUAAAUGUGGUGUGCAAAACCAAAACUUCAUACACACCAGUUCCGUACAAAGUUGCUUCCAGAUGUCACUGUGCAGGGCUUCUCCGCAUUAUGUUUAACAAGACAUAACAGGCCUAAAGUGACGAUGUCAUAAGCAAAAAAGAUACAGAUGCUUGAUACAUGCUCAUUUUCUGUUUGCCAAAACUGUCUAUUUGGGAGGCUUUCGUAGAAGACUGUUAUUUGCCAACACAAAAGUUUUGUAAUAAUGGGUCGUAUGAAUAAAAACUAGCAAAUGCUAUGAAGUUCAAGCAAACAGCAAAAGCAUUUACUGAGAAGUACAACCAUUAAGAAAUAAGCAAAUGCUUGAAUUUAUGUGAGUAAAUUGUUUCUUUUACUAUUCAGCAUUUACUAGUGACCGCACAGCCGAAUGGUUUUGCUCAAUAGGGCUUCCGUUGUCUGCAUGUACAGAUGCACACAUUGCAGCUCAGUGUUGUAUCUUGAGACCUCAGCAUGGCAGAUAAGCAUGAUGGCAGUACUUUUGAUUGCAGAAACCUUAAUGAAGAAAUUUGCUCUGCAACUCUAAAAUCGGUGCAACUGCCUGCAUCUCGUUUCUUCAGAUUCCCUCCUGAAGGCAUAUAGCUGUUCCUUUUGAAUGACAAUCAUGAAUGCUGCCAUUUUGAACAUUUGUAAAUGCUUCUCGUUUUCAAGCUUGCUCUUACCCAGUCUUGAAAAAUAUCAAGUAAAUAUUCCAAUU
rnacentral:lncRNA from 1 species